AUUGAACGCUGGCGGCAGGCUUAACACAUGCAAGUCGAGCGGGGGAAGGUAGCUUGCUACCGGACCUAGCGGCGGACGGGUGAGUAAUGCUUAGGAAUCUGCCUAUUAGUGGGGGACAACAUCUCGAAAGGGAUGCUAAUACCGCAUACGUCCUACGGGAGAAAGCAGGGGAUCUUCGAACCUUGCGCUAAUAGAUGAGCCUAAGUCGGAUUAGCUAGUUGGUGGGGUAAAGGCCUACCAAGGCGACGAUCUGUAGCGGGUCUGAGAGGAUGAUCCGCCACACUGGGACUGAGACACGGCCCAGACCCCUACGGGAGGCAGCAGUGGGGAAUAUUGGACAAUGGGGGGAACCCUGAUCCAGCCAUGCCGCGUGUGUGAAGAAGGCCUUAUGGUUGUAAAGCACUUUAAGCGAGGAGGAGGCUACUCUAGUUAAUACCUAGGGAUAGUGGACGUUACUCGCAGAAUAAGCACCGGCUAACUCUGUGCCAGCCGCCGCCGUAA
rnacentral:rRNA from 1 species